UGAGAGUAAUAACAUUUAAAGCAGAAGAAGAGUUGUUACAAAAGCUCGAUUUAUAUGCAGCUAAUAGGAGAUUAACUAGGAGCGAAAUUAUAAGGGAUGCAAUUAGGAAAUAUUU
rnacentral:sRNA from 1 species